rnacentral:rRNA from 1 species
UACGGGGGGAGCAAGCGUUGUUCGGAUUUACUGGGCGUAAAGGGCGCGUAGGCGGUCAGCACAAGUCAGUUGUGAAAUCUCCGGGCUUAACUCGGAAAGGUCAACUGAUACUGUGCGACUAGAGUGCAGAAGGGGCAACUGGAAUUCUCGGUGUAGCGGUGAAAUGCGUAGAUAUCGAGAGGAACACCUGCGGCGAAGGCGGGUUGCUGGGCUGACACUGACGCUGAUGCGCGAAAGCCAGGGAGCGAACGGGAUUA